AUGGUUGAUCAACAAUUAAGAAUCGUUCUAGGGUUAAACGAUCAAUACGAUUGACAUUUAACCUAGUAUAAGUGUUGUAGGAGGAUCGAUUAGCAAUUCGAUUGCUAAUUAGCUUAAUUUGAUUAAAUCAAUAGGAUGAGAUUAAGUUUAAUUGAAUAUGAUUUAAUUAGAUUUAGUUUGGGCUUGACUGGAUUAAGUCCAAUUGGUUUAUUGGAUAAGCCAAGUAC
rnacentral:lncRNA from 1 species